GUCAGUUGAUCUGGUUUAAUGUGAUUCGCGCUCUUUAUCCGUUGCAACUUGCUGUCUGAGGUAAAUAAGACGAGAAAGUUGAACCUUGCUCAUUAAAUGGAUAAAAGAAAACCAUGUAAGAGUUGGUUUGGAUAAAUAUGCGAAGGACAAUAAAUGUUAAGUGACCCAAAGACGGUUGGUCUUGUGGACAACGAGGAACAAACCGCCUAAAGGCGGUUGGACAGCGUUUCCAGCACAAAUACUCAACGUGAACGAGAGCCUUGGGUAAAAAAAGGCAGAGUACCAGUGGUUAAAGACACACAAAAUGUGGACAUCAAAACAAAUGGCUACAUUUGCUCGUGAGGAAGAUGAUAACGAAGAGGAUGAGACUCCUUCAAACCAUAAGAUAGUGGAUGAUUCACACUCAACUGCAAAGCAAUGAAAGAACACAUCUGUCACUAAAUUGAACCCAGUCACCUUGGAUUAUGCCCAAAAGUGUAUUACAAGAAACUCACCAGAACUGUGAUGGACUCCAUUUCCACCUUAGAAAAAAUGACAACAUGCUCCGUCACAGGGAAAAAAGGGACCACUGGUGAACAAAGACAGAGUCCUGACAGAGAAAGUGAAGCUAGUAAUAGGGAGCCUGCUGGAAGAGAAUCUGAGGACUGAUGCACAUAUAACAAUGGACAUGCAUAAAGACACAUCUCUAACAAUGGACAUGCAUAAAGACACAUCUCUCUCUCUCUCUCUCUCUCUCUCUCUCUCUCUCUCUCUCUC